rnacentral:snRNA from 1 species
ACAGUGAAGUGUAGACAACCAACCAAUGAGAAGGCCAGAAAGUGUAGACUAGUGUAGACCGAUAGCACUUCGGUGCGGCGAAGACCUGCGAUCACCCCUAAUGUGGGUGACUCGAGUACGUAAUUUUUUAGUGUGGGGGACUGCGUUCGCGCUCUCCCCUG